rnacentral:rRNA from 1 species
UACGUAGGGACCAAGCGUUGUUCGGAUUUACUGGGCGUAAAGGGCGCGUAGGCGGCUUGACAAGUCACUUGUGAAAUCUCCGGGCUUAACUCGGAACGGCCAAGUGAAACUGUCAUGCUAGAGUGCAGAAGGGGCAAUCGGAAUUCUUGGUGUAGCGGUGAAAUGCGUAGAUAUCAAGAGGAACACCUGAGGUGAAGGCGGGUUGCUGGGCUGACACUGACGCUGAGGAGCGAAAGCCAGGGGAGCAAACGGG